CUUCUUCUUUUUCUUUUUUCGCUUCUGUUAAUGAGGCUUUUUGUCGUGUGAGAAAGAAAACGAAGACGCACAGAAAAGCCUCCCGCUGCGGAGGCUUUUUUUAU
rnacentral:ncRNA from 1 species